rnacentral:rRNA from 1 species
CUAGUCUUAUCGGUGGAUCACUCGGCUCGUGGAUCGAUGAAGAACGCAGCCAACUGCGAUAAUUAGUGUGAACUGCAGAAACCUUGAACACAGUACUUUCGAAUGCACAUUGCGCCAUUGGAGUGACAUCCAUUGGCACGCCUGGUUCAGGGUCGUAAC